AAGGAUAACAAAAGUCAAGGUCUCUCAA
rnacentral:sRNA from 1 species